rnacentral:rRNA from 1 species
CUGUGACUAUUGCGAGGAGGUUCCACCUGUUCCCAUCCCGAACACAGUAGUUAAGCUCCUUAGCGCCGAUGAUACUUAGGGGGUGACCCCUUGGGAAAUUAGGACGUCGCAGG